AUUGAACGCUGGCGGCAUGCCUUACACAUGCAAGUCGAACGGUAACAGGCCGCAAGGUGCUGACGAGUGGCGAACGGGUGAGUAAUGCAUCGGAACGUGCCCAGUCGUGGGGGAUAACUGCUCGAAAGAGCAGCUAAUACCGCAUACGACCUGAGGGUGAAAGCGGGGGACCGUAAGGCCUCGCGCGAUUGGAGCGGCCGAUGUCAGAUUAGGUAGUUGGUGAGGUAAAGGCUCACCAAGCCGACGAUCUGUAGCUGGUCUGAGAGGACGACCAGCCACACUGGGACUGAGACACGGCCCAGACUCCUACGGGAGGCAGCAGUGGGGAAUUUUGGACAAUGGACGCAAGUCUGAUCCAGCCAUGCCGCGUGCGGGAAGAAGGCCUCGGUUGUAACGCUUUCGUUCUAGGAGAAAGGACGUCCGGAGUAAUAACCUGGGGCGUCGAUGACGGUAC
rnacentral:rRNA from 1 species